CACGUAGGGUGCGAGCGUUGUCCGGAAUUACUGGCGUAAAGAGCUCGUAGGUGGUUUGUCGCGUUGUCCGUGAAAACUCACAACUCAAUUGUGGGCGUGCGGGCGAUACGGGCAGACUGGAGUACUGCAGGGGAGACUGGAAUUCCUGGUGUAGCGGUGGAAUGCGCAGAUAUCAGGAGGAACACCGGUGGCGAAGGCGGAUCUCUGGGCCGUAACUGACGCUGAGGAGCGAAAGCAUGGGGGAGCGAACAGG
rnacentral:rRNA from 1 species